UAACUCUGAGUGCCUGAACUCAAGUGGGGAAUGUUCCAGUGGCCAUGUUUUACACAAUAAUGCUUUAAGCCUUGUUUUUGAAAAGCUUUUGAUUGUGUUCGUUUGGGUCAAAAUAACAUAAAUGGCUGCUUCUGUAGGCCUGGCAUCACAAGGGUUGAUAGUGCUAACAGCAGGACCUUUAGCUGGUGUGCUCAACGUUGUAGCAUUGGGCUGCUAAUGCUAACACCUGCUUCACACGUAUGUUACCAGAAUAGCUGUUUCUGGUUUAAUCAUGAUAUUGUCACGUGUGGCUCGAUUGGCUUCUGCCCUGUCAUCAAAGCAAUACAACAAAUCACUCCUCAUCUCUAUAUGUUUCAUUGUAGCAUUUGUUUUAUUUUACUAUCAAACGAAUGAUGGCCUGUGAUGGAGCAGAGUGCAGUCAGCUAUAUGUGAUAAAAAAAGGUUUGUGUGUCAGUGUGCAUGAGGGGUGAGAUUACAGGACCUGCCUGCAUAAUAUUAUACAUCUCUCCUCACACUGUAUGAAUUUGUAUUGUUCCCCAGACACAUACAUUUGCAUAAUCACAUUUACAGUGGUGUUGAGAUGGGCCGUGUCAUGUGGGUUGUAUUUAAGUCAGAAACAGCGUUGCUGAAUUCUCGUCCUUUUCCGGCACAAACAGGGGAAUAAAUCCUCCGGCAUGCAGACCCGAAUUUAUGACACGGGCCAUGAUGGAUGGCGAAAACACCAGAAUUCCAAAUGAGCGGGUUUAGAGCCGGUCGGAAUGCAAAUCCUCCCAAACGGUUAAGAUUCACUUCAGGAAUUACACAACCCAGCCAAACAGGACAGCUCUGCCAACGCAUGCAUUCUUAUUUCACUGUUUAUUUAUUUAUUUUUAAAAGAAUCUGUGGCUGUUUCCGCCUCAACUCAAGGCAGUGUGAUUUUACUGUGGGUGAAUUUCAUGUUGUUGGCCACAGCGCAGGGCUUCCUUGCCCUUAGUCAUUGUGCUAUGACACUCAAAUCAUAUGCUAGGAGCUCUCCUACAGUGUUUGGAAAAUGGGUCACAUCCAUUUUGGUCUUCCUGUCCCAAGAAGAGCACACUCUGUAGAAAUACAACCAGGCCAUUUUUGUUACCACCAGGAAAAAAUGGAAAAUACUAGAUAAAUAAAGUACAAAUGUGACAAGCACACUACUUACAGUGUUAUAGCCAAACUUGUGCUCAUCUAAAGCAACUUACAACAGUGAACAGAUAUACAUUUUAACAGUGACAGUAGGUGGGCUCCUUGGGUAUGGAACUUAGAACUCAUGGUGUUUUGUUUCUCUCUUGUUCUACAGUCCUCUUGUACACUGCAAAAACUGCUUUUCUAACCUAGGGUUAUUAUUCUUAUAUUAAGAUGAAAAAAUCUAGUUGGUCUUGUUUUUAGCAAAAUUGGACUUACCUAGUGUUGUCUUAAUAAGGUUAUUUUUUACCUAUUUCAAGCAAAUAUUACUUGCGCUGCCUUGAUAAGCACAUUUGAACUUAAUUUGAGUUAUUUAACACUAGAUAUGAGCACUUUAUCUUAAAAUAAUCCACUUCAACUGUGGUAGUCUUAUUUUAAGCAAUAGUGUGUCAAGUUGAAAACGUCUCAUUUCAAGCAUAAAUUCACUUGUUAUUUUCUUAUUGCAUUAAAGGUUAUUUUUAACUAGAUAUGAGUUUUAACAACCACUUAAUUGCACCACGUAGUAAAAGUGACCUAAAUCACUUAAAAAACACAGUCAAAUAUACUUGCGAUACUUGUGGAUUACCACUGAUCACAAGAUGCUCAGUCAGAAAUGUUGUCAUAAACCACAAGUUUUCCUCAAACUUGGUGGCAGGAUCGAAUUCACUCGAACGCACCCAACACAUCACCAAACGUCACUUGAGCUGCAUGCCAGUGAUGUGAACUGAAGCAAGUACAAGAGCUGUGCCUUUCGACUUCAAAAGCUAAAGGUAAGUUAACAUAAUUUAACCUCUGCCUACUUUAGUAAUUCGUCAGCAAUAUUGAAAACACAAAUGUUUGUAAAAGACCAAGACCUCUGGUUGAAGUUAUUAACUUGUUAGCAAACAAAGCUAGCACACUUGGCGUCAGCUAAGACAGCUAACCUAGCACAAGAAUUCAAUUGAAGCAAUGUCGACUGAGCUAACGUCUCUCAUAUGUUUUAAACUAGUGCCAGGUAAUACAAUGUCAGAAAGUGUCCCUAGUAGUCCUGUCUGUGAAAAAUAAGCAAGUUCAGAGGAUUAAUUUAGUGUGAAUGUUGGUGAUAUAAUAGCUAGUAGCUGCAGUUAGCUCUUAGCUAACUAGCUACUCGACUUGAAGUUGAAGAUUUUUUUCUGUCUGAAAGAGUAACAACCCUUUUCUUUACAUUACAGGUGGAGCAAUUGGACAAUACAACACAGUCACUUCUGGAAGCUGCACAGGCCAUUGCCUUGUUGGAGGCGCUCCCAAAAAUGCUCCCUUCCCCUACCGCCCCUCCAAGAAAACUCAAGUCGGCAAGUGAGGCACUGUACCAUUUCCUUGAGCCAUCUGAGGACCCCAAUGUCUUCUUGCGUAACUGAUGACCUUGCCAAGGGACGUGCUUCUGGAAUCCCUCAUGAUACUGAUGGGAUGCUACUACUGUAUGUGUUCCAGUUGACCUAUUCCAAGUGUAUUGCUAGGCUAUUGUCCAUAAUACAAACAGAGGUACUCAAAGAUUUUAUUCACGAGAGUCAACAACAGAGACGACAACAUAUAAAAAGGUGCUUGCUGACUGUCAAGUAUUCAUCCAAACCUAGUCUGUCUCUCCCUCUCUCUUCGUUAACCUCUCUCUGUAUGCUGUUUGAGUGAUGACAGAAUUCUUUGGAAGUUACUAGAUUACUUGAAAUCAGUGUUGUCACUCUUAUUUUAAGAUUUUGUGGUCUUGUGUAAAAGCCUGAAUUGUCUCUUAUUUCAAGUACUAAUGCCUC
ensembl:lncRNA